ensembl:snRNA U4 U4 spliceosomal RNA
AGCUUUGCGCAGUGGCAGUAUCGUAGCCAAUGAGGUUUAUCCGAGGCGCGAUUAUUGCUAAUAGAUUAUCUAUUCUGUGGUGUGUGCAUAUUGGUAGUUUGUGUUGAAGAAAAUCAGAAUAUGUCACCCUAAAACAUAUCUCUUUGACAUAAGAAUUAUUUUGAGCUAAAGGCAAUUA